GAUGAACGCUAGCGGCAGGCUUAAUACAUGCAAGUCGUGGGGCAGCAUGAGUAGCAAUACUUGAUGGCGACCGGCAAACGGGUGCGGAACACGUACACAACCUUCCGAUAAGUGGGGAAUAGCCCAGAGAAAUUUGGAUUAAUACCCCGUAACAUAUAGAGUAGGCAUCUUCUUUAUAUUAUAGCUUCGGCGCUUAUUGAUGGGUGUGCGUCUGAUUAGGUAGUUGGCGGGGUAACGGCCCACCAAGCCUACGAUCAGUAGCUGAUGUGAGAGCAUGAUCGGCCACACGGGCAAUGAGCAACGGGCCCGACUCCUACGGGAGGCAGCAGUAAGGAAUAUUGGACAAUGGGCGAAAGCUUGAUCCAGCCAUGCCGCGUGAAGGAUUAAGGUCCUCUGGAUUGUAAACUUCUUUUAUUUGGGACGAAAAAAGGGAAUUCUUUCCCACUUGACGGUACCAAGUGAAUAAGCACCGGCUAACUCCGUGCCAGCAGCCGCCGUAA
rnacentral:rRNA from 1 species